rnacentral:rRNA from 1 species
GACGAACGCUGGCGGCGUGCUUAACACAUGCAAGUCGAACGGAAAGGCCCUGCUUUUGUGGGGUGCUCGAGUGGCGAACGGGUGAGUAACACGUGAGUAACCUGCCCUUGACUUUGGGAUAACUUCAGGAAACUGGGGCUAAUACCGGAUAGGAGCUCCUGCUGCAUGGUGGGGGUUGGAAAGUUUCGGCGGUUGGGGAUGGACUCGCGGCUUAUCAGCUUGUUGGUGGGGUAUUGGCUUACCAAGGCUUUGCCGGGUAGCCGGCCUGAGAGGGUGACCGGCCACAGUGGGACUGAGAUACGGCCCAGACGCCUACGUGAGGCAGCAGUGGGGAAUAUUGCACAAUGGGCGGAAGCGUGAUGCAGCAACGCCGCGUUCGGGAUGACGGCCUUCGGGUUGUAAACCGCUUUCGCCUGUGACGAAGCGUGAGUGACGGUAAUGGGUAAAGAAGCACCGGCUAACUACGUG